UGUGGCUAAUAUCCACGGCUAAUGACGGUACCUGAAGAAUAAGCACCGGCUAACUACGUGCCAGCAGCCGCGGUAAUACGUAGGGUGCAAGCGUUAAUCGGAAUUACUGGGCGUAAAGCGUGCGCAGGCGGUUUUGUAAGUCUGUCGUGAAAUCCCGGCCGUCACCUACGGAGUUAUCGAUGAGGACUGCAAGGACGUGAAUACUUGGCGAGAAGGGGGUAGGAAGGUUACCACUUCGUAGUGAGUGAAAGUAGACGUGAGAGUAGUGGUAGGAACGACCGAACUGGCGAAGGCGACGUCCUGUCUGGACCAGUAACCUGUAACACAAGUUCGUGGGAGGCGAAGCAACGCAAGGGAUAGGGAUG
rnacentral:rRNA from 1 species